CUGUAGAGGUUGAAAACAAAAAAACGGCAUGUUCUGUGAGCGAAUUGUGCUCUAGUUAUAUGUGUUCUUACAGUACUGCAGCCAUGUCACUACAAAAGUACAGAGUUAAAAUAGUUAAAGAAAGCGACAAUGCCGAUAAUUCCGACACACACUGCGUAAAUCGUCGAAGAAUAAGCGCCCGAUUGAAACGACCGAAUCCGUUGUUCGAAAUGUGGCUAGAAGAGAUGAUCGCAAAAGCAGAAGCGAAAAACACGAUGGGGAGAAUUGCGCUACAGAAAGCUCUGACAUCCUUGCGCAGGUAUCCUCUUCCGCUGGCAUCAGGACGAGAUUGUAUUAUGCUAAUGGAUUUCGGCAAAACAAUCUGCGAAAACCUCGAUCGACGCUUGAAAGCUUACCUUGCUGGCGGUGGACAAGUAAUCAUCGAUCACAAUCUCGCUAUCGAAACUAUCCUUAACGAUGAGCAAACAGAGUACUAUCGAGAGCUCACAAAGACUUUUCGAGCACCAAGCGAAAAUGAACCUGAUUUAAUAGCAGCAGCACUAGCACCAAAUGUAGAAGAAGCAAUGUUAAACGAUUCCAUUUUCGAUAACGUACCCGGAACCUUGGAUGCACAUGAUUUUGUCCGUAUAACGCACCCGAAAGUGAUAUUACUUGUAGACACGGGCGAAACAAUUGGCAAAACCAAGAGCACUCUCGAUCGGACGCUCCAAGAACUAACAAAACACUCCAUUGAACAUGAAGUUCGUCGGUUAAGUGUUGGUGAUUUUGCUUGGAUAGUGAGAGACGAUUCUGGCAAAGAAUUUCUUCUACCAUAUAUCCUGGAACGCAAACGCAUCGAUGAUCUUGCGAGCAGCAUCAAAGAUGGACGGUUUCACGAGCAAAAAUUUCGCUUAAAACAGUGCGGUCUACCAAAUGUAAUCUACCUGAUAGAACAUUUAGGAAAUAAUCGGCAAGUCGGUGUGCCAGAGGCAACGCUUGCGCAAGCGGCACUUAAUACUUACGUCCAGGGCUUCACAGUAAAGUACACCGAAAACCACCAUCACACAGUACUGUACCUUUCGGUGAUGACGAACUAUCUAAACAAUUCACUCAAAAAUAAGCUAUAUAAGGAUAUUACCCACAGGCCCUUUUCGGAUGGUAAAGCUCUAUUUGGAAUUUCCUGUCUAACGUUUCCCCUACUUCUGUUUGAUUAUUUCUACAAACAAUCUUCCAAAACGCGCGAUUACUCUGUCCGGAACAUAUUCAUGAAGCAACUCCUGCAAAUUAAGUUGCUAACGAUCGAGAAGGUGAACACUAUUGUGGAAAAGUAUCCCACCCCGCAGUGUCUGUUCCUUGCUUAUACAGCUUGUUCCAGUGAAACAGAGCGACAGAGGAUGCUGAAUUUGCCUUACGGACCGAUGAAGCGAAUGAUUGGAGAAAAGCUUAGCAAAAUCAUUUGUCAUCUAAUGAUGAGUGAACGGUACAACACUUCUUAAGGUGUUUGUACCCAGAGCAGAGAUUUUGAAUGUAUCGUGGAAUUUGUAAACAAUUUGUUCCAGUUUUGUUUAACUCAUAUACAAAAUGGUGGCUAUUCCGACCUUCAACACAAUCCAUCGUAACUAAAACAAAGAGACAGAGCAGCACGAACUAUUUACAACUGUAACCUCAAAGGCUGAACUGAUGGUGAAGGGUGAGGAAAAUCUGUAUUUUGUCAUCUGUGGCAGCUGAUAGACUGGAUUCAUUACCGAUGAAACAACAUUGUUAGACGGCUUUCUAUUUCUGGCUGCAAUCAACAAUCUUCUGAGCUUCGGCCUAUCAAUAGAUGACGAGCAGCGAAUCAACUGGUGUUUUGCAAGCGUCCUGUCCGAAGGUACUACCAAGUGGAUUAAUUCCCAUUGCACCUUGCGAACGCUUACCCCAGGCUGGCGUGAAGGUGAGCUGAAACAGUAUUCCAUUACUCAUUUUUAAGAUCCAAUAGAUGUUUGAUGGUUUCGAACCGGGUUAACCAUCCAUCUACGCUUACCUGUGCUUCACAGAUGAACAUCAAAGAGGCACAAAUCAACAUAACGCUGAAUAGUUUUACAGUAUCCAUAUCGUGAUAGAUUAAUAAACGUUUUGUUGUUUCCU